GAUGAACGCUGGCGGCGUGCCUAACACAUUCAAGUCGAACGGAGUUUUUUCAAUUAAUCCUUCGGGAAGCGUUGAGAGAGCUUAGUGGCGGACGGGUGAGUAACGCGUGAGGAACCUGCCCUUUGGAGAGGAAUAACGACCGGAAACAGUCGCUAAUACCUCAUGACACAUAUCUGUCGCAUGACAGAUAUGUCAAAGAUUUAUCGCCGAAGGAUGGCCUCGCGUCUGAUUAGAUAGUUGGUAGGGUAACGGCCUACCAAGUCAACGAUCAGUAGCCGGACUGAGAGGUUGAACGGCCACAUUGGAACUGAGAUACGGUCCAG
rnacentral:rRNA from 1 species